rnacentral:rRNA from 1 species
UACGAAGGGGGCUAGCGUUGCUCGGAAUUACUGGGCGUAAAGCGCACGUAGGCGGAUUGUUAAGUCGGGGUGAAAUCCUGGAGCUCAACUCCAGAACUGCCUUCGAAACUGGCGAUCUUGAGUCCGGAGAGGUGAGUGGAACUGCGAGUGUAGAGGUGAAAUUCGUAGAUAUUCGCAAGAACACCAGUGGCGAAGGCGGCUCACUGGCCCGUACUGACGCUGAGGUGCGAAAGCGUGGGGAGCAACAGG